GGUGGCUCAGUGGUAGAGCGCUUGCCUUGCACGCCUGAGGCCCUGGGUUCAAUUCCUCAGCACCA
rfam:Dipodomys ordii contig_8754, whole genome shotgun sequence.